AAUAACAAUAAUUUAAAAUCCGACUCCACUUGAAUCGUCCAUCCACGAGAACCGGACAAGAUCCGAUGAUACACAGCGGGUCCAAACUCUCCACCGACCUAACACCGUUCAAGCGCUUCACAAAUAGAAUAGAAGCUACAAGAAGGACCGCAGGCCACGAAAAGGAGGCAGCGAGUUUUCCAAGCUCCGGCACACCUGUUUAAACGAGGAGUAUACUGAUAGGGCAAAAAGGAUGCGUAGAAACCAGUUCCAGCCGCCAUACACAAUGUCUCACAAGAGGGCUUCUGGCACCCGCCCACCAACUCCUGUUGCAGACCAAGUUCAUGUUCAUUCAAGCCAUCAGCCUACCCUUCAGGAAAUCAUCAAUAUUAAGUUGAUUGAGAGUGGAGAAAAGGAGCGAUUGAUGGAACUUUUGAGGGAAAGGCUUAUAGAAUGUGGCUGGAAAGAUGAAAUGAAAGCUCUUUGCAGGUCUUUUGCAGCUAUUUUAUUUAGUCAUUUAUUUAUUUAUAUCAAAACUAUCAACCCAAUUGACUUGGUUUUUAGUAUAUCGACUGCUUGUUUGUGGGUUAGUAGGUAAUCUACAAAUCAAGAAAUGUAUUUUAUAUUUCCUUUCAGUAUGAGGGAUGUUGUGAAGAAUGGAGAUUGAGGUAGACUGCAGGAGAAAAGUAGCAUAGUAUUAUUGUUAAGCAUCCUGAGAAGUUUAAAACUUGAGCAUUAUUAGCUGCAAUUUUCUUUUCCUUUUCGAAAAAGGCAACAGAGCAACAUGACUUUGAAACUAGUUCUGCUUUUUUAUAAUAUUAAAUGUGUUGCACUAUAGCCUUGUUUCAAUUUCAUUGUCUAUUCUCGCUUUUUUCUACUCCAUUCAUUUAUCCAUUUGAUUGCUAGUCUGUACUAAGCAGAUGCUUACGCUGAACUAAGAUUGCUGUUUUAGUGAAACAGCAACAUUUACGUUGUUAAAUGUUUUAAAUUUUAGUUGCACUCUGGCCAAUUGUAAAAUGGGCAUCUUCCACGAGGCAAUCAGAGCAGUAGAGUAAGCAAGGAAAUAGCUUAAUGCUGGUCUAAGUUGGUACUGCACUACAAUUAGUUGGCUGAGCAGAGUGAUGGGGGUUAUUAUGGUGCAGUACUGUGUUGUAUUUGUAUUAUAAAAUGCUUUGAACCCUAGUAAUAUAUAUUAAUCAAUUGGGACUAGAGUUUUUAUUGUAUUUUAUUGCAUUGAAUUUUCUAGCGUGAUUGAUAGUAAUUAACACUAGAGUUUUGAUGUUUUUAGAACAACUUGAAUUCUCCAAUUUCUGUUGUGAAUAUUGCACCCUCUUUACUUUGGACACAGAUCGACUGAUUAAACCACAUAAAUACUAUUUUCAUUUCUUGUCAUUACAUCCAUGAAUGACACCAUAACCUAAGUCUGAUGCCUCACAUUGUGAACUAGCAUAUAAUGGCCGAACAAGUGAUUUCAACUUGGGUCAAAUUAAAAUAUUUGGAGUAUAGCUAAAAAUCAUUGAAAUAAGUUGAUGAUCAAGAACAGUGAUGGAGCCUGGGGAAACAUAAGUGUAUAGCCAACACUAACGGUUUGAAAAUAUUUGUUUAUGAAUGAAGCUGAGAUGUAACAAAGAGUCGUGUUGCAAAUGAUAGUAGAGUUGCCGUGUGUGUACAGGAGGUUCUUUGGCUGCCCCUGGAGUUUUAUGGUUUGUUUGUUUAUAGAGAUUACUGUCUGAUACUGGUUUGGAAUUAGAUGAAUAAGAUGGAGUUGAAUCCACUGACUCUGAUUUUGCGAGAGAGAUACAUGAAGCUGUGUUUCCCAUUGGCAAAUCUUGAGAUUCACUGUAGAUGCCAAUGUGGCUAAAUUUGUGUUUGGUGAAGUGAAGCCACCCUUAGCAAAUGUUUGUGCUCCAUUCCUUCUUUCAUUUAUUUCAGAGUGUAUAAAAGAACUAAUGGAAUAUGAAGUCAGAUGCUUUCUGUAGUUGUAAGGUGUUGUGUUAGAUUUUUACCAUUUUGGACCUUUUCAUAAGGAUUUUGGGGGAUGCUCUUAUAUUUUUAUUAGUUUUUUUCCCUAAUGCAUUUGGAUUUUCCUGAUGCUUGUAGUGCUGCAUUAAAUCAAUGGAAAAAUCUUCCCAUUUUGCUUAAUUUUUUAAUUUUUCCUUCGUAAUUGUUUAAUGUGUUUUUAAAAUUUUGGAAAUCACUCUUGACCUUAUCCAUGUAGGGCAUUUAUAAAGAAGAAA
rnacentral:misc_RNA from 1 species